rnacentral:rRNA from 1 species
ACCUGCGGAAGGAUCAUUACCGAGUGAGGGCCCUCUGGGUCCAACCUCCCACCCGUGUUUAUUUUACCUUGUUGCUUCGGCGGGCCCGCCUUAACUGGCCGCCGGGGGGCUUACGCCCCCGGGCCCGCGCCCGCCGAAGACACCCUCGAACUCUGUCUGAAGAUUGUAGUCUGAGUGAAAAUAUAAAUUAUUUAAAACUUUCAACAACGGAUCUCUUGGUUCCGGCAUCGAUGAAGAACGCAGCGAAAUGCGAUACGUAAUGUGAAUUGCAAAUUCAGUGAAUCAUCGAGUCUUUGAACGCACAUUGCGCCCCCUGGUAUUCCGGGGGGCAUGCCUGUCCGAGCGUCAUUUCUGCCCUCAAGCACGGCUUGUGUGUUGGGCCCCGUCCUCCGAUCCCGGGGGACGGGCCCGAAAGGCAGCGGCGGCACCGCGUCCGGUCCUCGAGCGUAUGGGGCUUUGUCACCCGCUCUGUAGGCCCGGCCGGCGCUUGCCGAUCAACCCAAAUUUUUAUCCAGGUGACCUCGGAU